ensembl:lncRNA
GGAAUUCUCAAUACGGAAUGGAGCGAAAGUGUUUUUGUUGAUUGUGCAAAAUGCUGAUCUUGUAUAGCAUGAUGUCUGUGAGGGUGUUUUACAUCAAGGCUGAUCUAUGUGGGAAAUGAUCGUGCUGUGCUUAAGUCUGUACUUGGCAAGCAAACACACAAUAUGUUCAUGUGAUUUUGAGCCCACUCGAUCUUUGCUCUCCAAGGUGUGUGUGAGGGAAAGCAGAGGAUCAGUCGAGUGGUAUUACAGGAUUUUUAAUCAACACAUUUCUAAAUCUCAGGAUUUCAACUUUGCCAUUUUGAGCUUUUUUCCACAACCCCAGAAGAAGUCAGGGACUCACCCAUGAUCUGCUUAAAGUAUCAGGACAUCAAUAGCUCAGCAUCAGAGGAUCUUGGGUGCAGGCGGGGAGAGUUCAGCCGUAAACACUAUGGAUCAGUUGAACUGGUGAGGACUGUCAUAUUAUAACUUAUGUACUUCCCUUUUUCUAAUCUAUUUUUCUCCACCUGUGGACUGCUGUAAAAGGAGUAGCUAUGUGUUUCUGUUUGAUUUCUUAUAUAUGUCUGCAGUUCUGUCUGUUUUAUCAGAUGAGAUUUGAACAUCUUUGUAAUUGCAUUUCUCACUUAAACAUCAUCUCACCCUAAACCCAGGAUCUUUGGAAGCAUAGUUACGUAGGCACAAGUAUAGCAUCAUUUAUAUGAUUCAGAGAAUUUUGCCUGGUCAAACGCACGUGUUGUAUUGAGUGGGUGUGGCUGUAUUUAUUUCAGCGGUGUCUGUCUCUUCCAGAUAGUUGUUGGACGGAGGAAGUGGCUAAAUACUAGAUGCUACUUCCCAUGUGAAAUGUGCAGAAGGUUUGUGGGUAGAAAGAAAUGUGUGACCUUGUGUCAGAUAGAACCAUGUCACAAAACCACAUGUGCUAUCAUGCAUGACAGAUGGAGAAUAUAAAUGUGUGUAUAUGACUGCAUGUGUCUGUAUGAGAAAAGGAGCGAGAAGGGCAUUUGUUACUGCAUGUGCCAUUGUUCUUAGGUAUCUAAAGCUACCGUGUGAGACCCGUAAUGAAAAUGAAUUUAUUUUUAUUGCAAAUUAUAUUUUCAGAAAAUGUUUAGAAAAGUGUACAUGAAUUGUAUAGAAGUUCAAAAAUCAAUGUAAUCUUGUUCUUUUCAGGGGUACUUGAUUCUGAUUGGUCAAUCGUAGCAUUCAGCAGUCUGAUAUUUCUGAAUAAUGACCAUUGUUUGUGAUUGUAUUCUGUUUCUCUACAGUUUCUACAAGGCAUCUUAAAUCAAUAUUUCAAAACAAUUUCAUGUCCAAAUAUUAAUUUAUCUUUGAAGCAGCCAUAUACAGAAUAAUUAGCAUGAGUAUUCAUAAAGCCAUUACCAAAAAAAUAAACAUGGAAAGGCCAACCCUGGACA